CCUCGCCCAGCUAGAAUGGCAGCAGCGAGAAUGGCGAGGCUGCGGAGGAAGGAGAGGAAUCAGAUGGUCUGAGAGGCGUCUGGCUCGUCGAGGAAUAGUUCCUCAGGCACAAGGAAAGCACUAUGGAGGCAAUCGACCACGAUGCCGAGCAUGAGAGCGGAGAUGAAGGUGGAGCUGACGCUAGUGAUGAACACGACGAAGACGGUGAGCCCAAUAACUAGGGUUUCAAAAUCUUUAACCGAUACAAAGCUCAAUUGAUUUGUGUGGUGUGUUGAACUUGCUCUUUUCGAGUAUUUUGCUGGAGAGAAAGAAAGUGUUUUGCAAGUAAGUUCAUGUUUUGCAAAAGGUGCAAUGGUGCUUAUCAUUGUUCGGUCUGCAACCUCCUCAUAAGUUCAAUUUUGAAAUGCUAGAGUGGGAGGGCAAGGAUUUCUUAAAAGAUGUUCUGUAUCCAAUCUAAGGCCUAUAAACGUGAAGGUUGAAUAUUUCAUUUUUCAGGUGUUUCUGCUGUAGUCCAGGGAGAAAAUAAUGACAACUGCAAGGAAAGAGAAAAAGAGAGAGAGGCUCGAAGAGAAGAGAAGCCUAAGAAAGCAACUUUGUUGGAAAAGCUUGAAGAUGGGGAUUCUAUUGCUGCAAGCAUGCUGCAGGGCUCUCAAAUUAAUAAUGAAAAAGAAGCUGGUUUAAUAACUAAUUCCAUUAAUAGUGUCACUCAACUGAAGGAGAG